rnacentral:rRNA from 1 species
GACGAACGCUGGCGGCGUGCUUAACACAUGCAAGUCGAACGGAAAGGCCCUGCUUUUGUGGGGUGCUCGAGUGGCGAACGGGUGAGUAACACGUGAGUAACCUGCCCUUGACUUUGGGAUAACUUCAGGAAACUGGGGCUAUACCGGAGAGGAGCUCCUGCUGCAUGGUGGGGGUUGGAAAGUUUCGGCGGUUGGGGAUGGACUCGCGGCUUAUCAGCUUGUUUGUGGGGUAGUGGCUUACCAAGGCUUUGACGGGUAGCCGGCCUGAGAGGGUGACCGGCCACAUUGGGACUGAGAUACGGCCCAGACUCCUACGGGAGGCAGCAGUGGGGAAUAUUGCACAAUGGGCGGAAGCCUGAUGCAGCAACGCCGCGUGCGGGAUGACGGCCUUCGGGUUGUAAACCGCUUUCGCCUGUGACGAAGCGUGAGUGACGGUAAUGGGUAAAGAAGCACCGGCUAACUACGUG